rnacentral:rRNA from 1 species
CCCUUAGAUGUUCUGGGCGGCCCGCGCACUACAAUGGCGUGUGCAGCGAGUGCCGAAGUAGAGUUUUCCGAGGUAUUCUUGCAAUGCUCGUUUUGAUGGGGAUAGACCCUUGCAACUGGUGGUUUUGAACGAGGAAUUCCUUGUAAGCAUGGUUUAUCAUCCGACGCUGAAUGCGUCCCUGCCCUUUGUACACACCGCCCGUCGCUCCUACCGAUGAGUCGUCCGGUGAAGUUCGUAGACCUCGUGAUCGCGGAUCACUGGGGGAAGCAAAAUGAACCUCGCGGUUUAGAGGAAGGAGAAGUCGUAACA